UUAAAUUCAGAGGCAGCUACCAAAAGGACACAUCUCUCUACCCCCUACUGUUUCUUCUGUGCAAAAGAAUGUAAAAUAUGAGGCUUCUCUUCCGCAUGUAGGCCUGAGAAGUUUUGACAAUGUGUAUGCAGGGAGAAAUGACUGGUGAAAGAAUUUAGAAAGAAUGUAUGGGGACAAAAAGGAAUCACAUGAACUGAUUUAAAUUCUUCUUGUGACAAGGGGUGUGUGCAAACAUGAAGGAACUAGGGUUUUGUUUGUAAAUGUUUAUCAGGUUGGGAGAGGCAAAGAUCACAGACUGUGAUAUUCUUGGGAUAAACGGCUCAAUAUGUUGGUCCCAAGUGACACCAUGUGGAAUUGAGAAGAGGGCCAUUCUCAUCUAAACACCCAUCUGAGCCCAGGUUUGGCACUCGGAAGUUGCAUUUGUGUCAUGAAAGAGAGAUGUCAAUGAUGACAGCAUAGGUAUUGACCUGGACCAUCAGAAGAACAAAACAUUGAGAGAACACCCAUGACCGAAAACAGAAGAAAAGUUGCAACAGAGUGAAAAAUCAGGAAAACCUCAUCGAGAUAGAUAUUCUGCCAGAGACAAAAUGAAACCUCAUCGAGAUAGAUAUUCCGCCAGAGAAAAAUAAGACAUCAGAUAUGUGUGAUCACAGGUCAUAGACUCAGUGAAGGCCACUGUCACAAUGCUCUCAUGCCAAACCUUGACUGCAAAGCUGAGAUGUUAAUAUGGAACACCUGAGAGGGCUGGCACUUCAGCGUCCUUAUUCCUCCAGAAACACACCACGAAAGUCACCUUCUCCCCAGACAGAUUCUCUACAAAAUGCCUUGCAGCCGAGGUGUGGUGGAA
rnacentral:lncRNA from 1 species